rnacentral:rRNA from 1 species
GUCGAUUAGCCAUGCUAGUCGCACGAGUUCAGACUCGUGGCAGAUAGCUCAGUAACACGUGGCCAAACUACCCUAUAGAUCCGGCCAACCUCGGGAAACUGAGGCUAAUCCGGAAUAACGCUUUCAGCCUGGAGUGGCGAGAGCGUGAAACGCUCCGGCGCUAUAGGAUGUGGCUGCGGCCGAUUAGGUAGACGGUGGGGUAACGGCCCACCGUGCCAGUAAUCGGUACGGGUUGUGAGAGCAAGAGCCCGGAGACGGUAUCUGAGACAAGAUACCGGGCCCUACGGGGCGCAGCAGGCGCGAAACCUUUACACUGCACGCGAGUGCGAUAAGGGGACUCCAGGUGCGAGGGCAUAUAGUCCUCGCUUUUCUCGACCGUAGGGAGGUCGAGGAACAAGUGCUGGGCAAGACCGGUGCCAGCCGCCGCGGUAAUACCGGCAGCACAAGUGAUGACCGCUGUUAUUGGGCCUAAAGCGUCCGUAGCUGGCCAGACAAGUUCAUCGGGAAAUCUGUGCGCCUAACGCACAGGCGUCCGGUGGAAACUGCCUGGCUUGGGACCGGAAGACCAGAGGGGUACGUCUGGGGUAGGAGUGAAAUCCCGUAAUCCUGGACGGACCACCGGUGGCGAAAGCGCCUCUGGAAGACGGAUCCGACGGUGAGGGACGAAAGCUCGGGUCACGAACCGGAUUAGAUACCCGGGUAGUCCGAGCUGUAAACGAUGUCUGCUAGGUGUGACACAGGCUACGAGCCUGUGUUGUGCCGUAGGGAAGCCGUGAAGCAGACCGCCUGGGAAGUACGUCCGCAAGGAUGAAACUUAAAGGAAUUGGCGGGGGAGCACUACAACCGGAGGAGCCUGCGGUUUAAUUGGACUCAACGCCCGGACAUCUCACCAGCAUCGACAGUGUGCAGUGACAGUCAGUGUGAUGAGCUUACUUGAGCCACUGAGAGGAGGUGCAUGGGCCGCC